ACCUCUGUGGUGUAAUGGUAACACACGUCCCCUUAAGGAUGAAACGCGGGUUUGACUCCCGUCUGAGGUU